rnacentral:rRNA from 1 species
UUUUUGAAUUGAUAAUUUAAAGUCUAAUCUGCCCACUGAUAAUAAAUUAAAGGGCUGCAGUAUAUUGACUGUACAAAGGUAGCAUAAUCAAUAGUCUCUUAAUUGGUGACUUGUAUGAAAGAUUUGAUGAGAUAUAAACUGUCUCUUUAUAAUUUUUAGAAUUUAAUUUUUUAGUUAAAAAGCUAAAAUAUAUUUAAAAGACGAGAAGACCCUAUAGAGUUUAAUAUUUAAUAUGUAUAUUAAAUAUUUUUUAUAAAAUUUAAAAUUUUAAUAUUAAUAAAUAUUUUGUUGGGGUGACAGAAAAAUUAAAAUAACUUUUUUUUAUAAUUUUACAUUAAUAAAUGGUUAAAUGAUCCGUAAUUUACGAUUAUAAGAAAAAAUUACCUUAGGGAUAACAGCGUAAUUUUUUUUUUUAGUUCAAAUAAGAAAAAAAGUUUGCGACCUCGAUGUUGGAUUAAGAUAAAAUUUAAAUGCAAAAGUUUAAAAUUUUUGAUCUGUUCGAUCAUUAAAAUCUUACA